rnacentral:rRNA from 1 species
CAGUAGCCGCGGUAAUACAGAGGGUGCAAGCGUUAAUCGGAAUUACUGGGCGUAAAGCGCGCGUAGGUGGUUUGUUAAGUUGGAUGUGAAAUCCCCGGGCUCAACCUGGGAACUGCAUCCAAAACUGGCAAGCUAGAGUAUGGUAGAGGGUGGUGGAAUUUCCUGUGUAGCGGUGAAAUGCGUAGAUAUAGGAAGGAACACCAGUGGCGAAGGCGACAACCUGGACUGAUACUGACACUGAGGUGCGAAAGCGUGGGGAGCAAACAGGAUUAGAUACCCCUGUAGUCCCUGUCUCUUAUAA